CCCUUAGAUGUCCUGGGCCGCACGCGCGUUACACUGAUGCAUUCAACGAGCUUAUAACCUUGGCCGAGAGGCCUGGGCAAUCUUGUUAACGUGCAUCGUGAUAGGGAUAGAUUAUUGAAAUUAUUAAUCUUGAACGAGGAAUCCCUAGUAGGCAUUACGUCAUUAGCGUGUGCCGAUUACGUCCCUGCUCUUUGUACACACCGCCCGUCGCUACUACCGAUUGAAUGGCUGGGUGAAGAAGACGGACACGGCCGCCCUAAAAAGCGGGCGUUGGAAGUCUUCUCAACCUAGGUCAUUUAGAGGAAGUAAAAGUCGUAACA
rnacentral:rRNA from 1 species